UGCUCGCGCAUCGAACUACUUACCACCUAUCCUUCUCAGUUAAAUCACGGGCGAUGUUACGCUCGAUGAUCGGAUCCGGGGCCUGUGUUGCGUACCUAACUAGACGGUAUUGUUGCGUUUGUUUCCACCCUUGUCCGCGGCAUCUCCUUUGCGGGAGAAGUCGUGGACACGUAAAUCGGCACUUGUUUUCCUUUCGACGUUGCAUCAUAUGCCUCGCUCGCAUUGGCUAAUAAGCUGCCGGUUGAAAUCUCGGAUGCCGAAAAGUUAUAGGCGUUGACUCGAAGCGAUUCAGUCUCGUCAAAGCUCAUCUGUCCCUCGGACAAAAGAUAACGGUCGAGACCUCUUCCGCUCUUUCUUUCCUUAGCGUUAGCGAGAACGUGUUGGGGAAUCGCCGUGAUCGAUGAAUGCUACCUGGUUGAUCCUGCC
rnacentral:misc_RNA from 1 species